rnacentral:rRNA from 1 species
AUAAAGUGGCGAACGGCUGAGUAACACGUGGGCAACCUGCCCUUUGCACUGGGAUAGCCUCGGGAAACCGAGGUUAAUACCGGAUACUCCAUAUUUGUCGCAUGGCGAAUAUGGGAAAGCUCCGGCGGCAAAGGAUGGGCCCGCGGCCUGUUAGCUAGUUGGUGGGGUAGUGGCCUACCAAGGCAAUGAUGGGUAGCCGGGUUGAGAGACCGACCGGCCAGAUUGGGACUGAGACACGGCCCAGACUCCUACGGGAGCAGCAGUA